UUCGCCAUUUUUUUACAGGGACUGUUUCUUCAGUAGAUCUGUGGAUUAUCCAGAGUAACAUUUUUUUGGAAGGACAUGUUGCUAUUGAGUUUUGAGCAUGUCAUUUUUCAAUGGUUUGAAAGCUCAGAGAGGAAAAUCUCAACAUCUUGGCACAUAAAACUGAAACUAUCUGCAUUACCAGCUGCUGUACCUAGUAAGUAAACGGUGUAAUUCAGGUGGACUGAUCUUUAAAUAUCAGGAUGCUAUUCAGACCUAAGAGUCCACAUCUUCAAAUUUUAGAUAAAGUGAUCACGACGGACUUUAGGCCUCUGUGUCGGAGUAUUCGUAAGUGUUACAUGUUCUCCUUUGAUUAGCUCUCAAACAUUGCCACUGGAGAUGGAUUCAACACCCUGUGAAAAACACUUUAGGAAAAAUGAUACAAAUCAACACACAUCCUGCAUCCCGUCAGAAUUCCCCUGCAACGAAUUCCCAAACAUAAACACUAUCAAUUUUGUCUCUGUUCUCGGGCCGAGGUCCAAACCCCGCGGAUCGAGCUCUGUUUGUGUCAUUUCUCCCAUCCUGCCCAGAUUUGGCCACAAGUGUCUUCCACUUGGAAACAGGAAGACUGCCUCUUUUUCCUUCUCUCUCUCGAUCCCUCUCACCAACCUCAGUUUGUCCAAGAACAUGACCCUGACUACAGAGAUGACUAAGGACGUGUUUACUUGCAGGAAUCCCUCCAUUUAGACUGGAUGGUGGACUCCACAUUCUUUUUUCUAGAAGGAUUACACACUGAGGAUCCAGUGAAGGGACCUUUCCCAUUACAUAAUGGAAGGGUUUUUUCCCCUAAAGAAGAUAAGAUCCCACGGCACCAGGCAUGUUCACACAGACGAUGUGCAGACCUGUAACAGUGUCAAAUGUCAGCAUUCAUCCCUCCCAAACAGGCCCUUGGUGCUGCACUGCAUCAGCCAGCAUUACCACCAUGUCAAUUUAGCAAAGAGCAGUGCGGAAGCUGCAAAGACUUCACAUCAAUUGAGAGGACUCACUGAUGGCAUCAGUUAAAGGUGAUUGCUGAUCGGGUGCACCUUGGACCUGUGAGCCAGGGGAGAUAAAGCUCCACUUGGUCAAACUACUUUCUCUUCUACCUACUCUGCAAUCCAGACGUCAACCGCCUGACCACCCCGACUGCUACAUCUUGCUUUGAGUUAUUUAUGUUGCAGAGCCAUAUCUUGCACAUUUAAAUAGUUAUGUUUAGUUCACUCUUUUGUUAAAUUACUUUUGAUCAUUUAUCCUGCCUCGUUCGCUCUUUUGUCAUGACCCUUGAGCCAGGUAGUGACACUUACGCAUAAAAAAAAAAAGAUUCACUCUGCAUGCCAUUUGUGGUCUAGGGCACGAAAAUUUUGUAUGGUUAACUUGUUUUUGGCAUUUCUGUGAAAGGGCUGGCUGUCUGAGAAUAGCAUUCAUUUAAAAAUCAAAUGGCACACAAACAAUCAUGAAUGUUAAGUGUAAAGGUAUCAGUCUGGAAAAGGUUACAGUCUGUGUGAUGAUUGUGAAUAUUGCGACUAUAAUCCAGUCUAAAAGUACUGAGUGGGGAGACCCAGGAACAUGAGCUGGUGGUGGCGGUGAGGAUCUACUAGUUACAGGUCUCUGUAGCACUUCUUGGGCCUCCUGAUCAGAUGCUUUCCUCUGAGGUGCCUCGUGUGUGUGCUCCAUCUCGCUGACCCCUCUCGGGAUUGGCAAUUGGAAAUGAGGCUGCGGUUGCUGAGGCGGACCAGGUGACCCAGCAGGAAGUGAUGUGUGGGAAGACCCAGAUUGCACCUCUGACCUGGUGGGUCCUGGUCUGCUUUGGGAGGGUGGAGAUCUCCAUUUUCAGCACCCUGUCUAGGGCCAUUGUCCGUGCUGCAGACAGAUGGACUUUUGUGCUUCUUUGAAGUAGGGGGCUGGCUGGCUGAACCUGUAUUUCUUUUUUUUUUUUUUUUUUUUCUCUAUGACAGCCAAUUGUGAUGCAAUUCUCUUUCUAAUCUUCCUGAUGUGCAAUUAACAAUACUUCUCUAAAACGCUUUACACACCACCGUCUUUAACUCAGAAAGCAGGGCAUUUAAUAUUUCAUGGCAAUAUAAAAAUAACAAUUAACGUUAGCUGCUGUGGGGUCUAUUAGCUCGUCCUUCACGCUAGCUGCUGUUAACAUGCUACAUGAAAGUUUUUCCAUUCAGAUGGAAAUUCUGAAUAAAUUAAACAUUUGAAGACCAUAAUUGACCUUAAUUAACAGCUUUCAGUUUCUGACCACAAAUCAAUGUCGUUGAAGGAAGUCGCUAGCUAGCUCGCCAGUUUCUGACCGCUCUACUCCAAACCUGGCCAAGCACCCACUGCCUGCGACCUGCCUGCCCCCCGCUGACCAAAGAUCAGCUCACACAGCAUCAGCCCCAUCACUACUAUAAUGGUCAGAAAUAAUAAACUGACCUGAGCUGGCAUCAUUGAUUGACAGGGCCAAUUAGAUUUGGCCAAGGCCACCCCCCCCAAAAUCGCCAUAGUUGCAUUGCUAAACAUACAAAGUACUGUGCAUUAUUAAUUUUUU